GACUACGGUAAAACCGCUCUGAAUACGCCUGAUGCCACUAGAUUUUGGAAUCUAAGCAGGGAUGGGCCCAGGAUGUUCUUGGAUGGGAGACCUCCAGGGCAUACUGGGUACUGUAGUCC
rnacentral:rRNA from 1 species